ACAUGUCAGUGUGUCCACGUCAACCUCCUCUCUCUCUUUCCAGUUUCCCCUCUUCUCUCCCUUCCUCAUCUCUCUCUCUCUCCGGGGCUCUCUGGGCAGGGGAGCAAAGCGGCAGCGGCGGCGGGAGCAGGGGAGCAAGGCGGCAGCGGCGAGGGGAGCAAGGCGUCGGCGGCGGCGGCCUCCGAUCUCCCCCACCCUCUUCGCUCUGGGCUGAGGCCGCCGUGCUCGCCCCGUCAUCUUCGCUCUGCCCAAGGCGGCGGCGGGGGGAGCAAGACGUCGGCGGCGGCGGCCUCCGAUCUCUCCCGCCCUCUUCGCUCUGGGCUGAGGCCGCCGUGCUAGGUGUGUGGGCAUCGUUGUCGUGCAGGGCGUGCGGGCGUCGUCGUCGGGCAGGGCGUGCGGGCGUUGCUCUGGGAGGAGUAGCAAUGGGCGGCGGGGAGCGGGGCUGAGCGGCAGCCGGCGGAGACGGCGUGCAAGCGCGCGGCGGCCGACGGAGCAGAGUGGCGGCGGGCGAGUGCGAGGCGGCCGGCGAAGCGGAGCGGAGGCGGGCAAGCACGCGGCGGCCGGCGGAUGGGGAGCGGUCG
rnacentral:lncRNA from 1 species